rnacentral:rRNA from 1 species
AACGGGUGAGUAAUACAUAAGUAACCUGCCUGCAAGGACUGGGAUAACAUCUGGAAACGGGUGCUAAUACCGGAUACGUAACAAAAGGGCAUCCUUCUGUUAUUAAAGGUUUAAGACACAAGCAGAUGGGCUUAUGUUGCAUUAGCUUGUUGGUGAGAUAAAAGCCCACCAAGGCGAUGAUGCAUAGCCGGCCUGAGAGGGUGAACGGCCACACUGGAACUGAGACACGGUCCAGACUCCUACGGGAGGCAGCAGUGGGGAAUCUUCCGCAAUGGGCGAAAGCCUGACGGAGCAACGCCGCGUGGGUGAGGAAGUUCUUCGGAACGUAAAGCCCUGUUGUACAUGACGAACGUGCUUUCUAUCAACAACGGGAAGCAAUGACGGUAGUGUACGAGGAAGCCACGGCUAACUACGUGCCAGCAGCCGCGGUAAUACGUAGGUGGCAAGCGUUGUCCGGAAUUAUUGGGCGUAAAGCGCAUGUAGGCGGUGCCUUAAGUCUGUCGUGAAACUGCGGGGCCUAACCCCGUAUGGCGAUGGAAACUGUGGCACUUGAGUGCAGGAGAGGAAAGGGGAACUCCCAGUGUAGCGGUGAAAUGCGUAGAUAUUGGGAAGAACACCGGUGGCGAAGGCGCCUUUCUGGACUGUGUCUGACGCUGAGAUGCGAAAGCCAGGGUAGCGAACGGGAUUAGAUACCCCGGUAGUCCUGGCCGUAAACGAUGGGUACUAGGUGUGGGAGGUAUCGACCCCUUCCGUGCCGGAGUUAACGCAAUAAGUACCCCGCCUGGGGGAGUACGGCCGCAAGGCUUAAACUCAAAGGAAUUGACGGGGGCCCGCACAAGCGGUGGAGUAUGUGGUUUAAUUCGACGCAACGCGAAGAACCUUACCAGGGCUUGACAUCGAUUGCAAGGGAUAGAGAUAUCCCCCUCUCUUCGGAGACAAGAAGACAGGUGGUGCAUGGCUGUCGUCAGCUCGUGUCGUGAGAUGUUGGGUUAAGUCCCGCAACGAGCGCAACCCCUAUCCCAUGUUACCAUCAUUAAGUUGGGGACUCAUGGGAGACUGCCAGGGACAACCUGGAGGAAGGCGGGGAUGACGUCAAGUCAUCAUGCCCCUUAUGUCCUGGGCUACACACGUACUACAAUGGCCGGCAACAGAGGGAAGCGAAGCCGCGAGGCGGAGCGAACCCCAGAAACCCGGUCCCAGUUCGGAUCGCAGGCUGCAACCCGCCUGCGUGAAGUCGGAAUCGCUAGUAAUCGCAGGUCAGCAUACUGCGGUGAAUACGUUCCCGGGCCUUGUACACACCGCCCGUCACACCACGAAAGUUGGUAACACCCGAAGC